rnacentral:misc_RNA from 1 species
UUGCGAUAAGUAAUGUGAAUUGCAGAAUUCAGUGAAUCAUCGAAUCUUUGAACGCAUCUUGCGCUCUUUGGUAUUCCGAAGAGCAUGCCUGUUUGAGUGUCAUGAAACUCUCACCUCCAGCCUUCUUUAAUUAGAGGUGUUGGGGCGUGGACGUGAGUGCUGCUGGUGCCCUAGUUGCAUCGGCUCACUUGAAAUACAUUAGCUGAAUCCUCUAGAGGUGGUUCUACUCGACGUGAUAAGAUCUCCGUCGAGGACAGUGCAACUUGUUGUGCUGGCCGCCGCUAGCUGUUGAUACGCUUCUAAUUAGCGCAGACUUCGAGUGCUGGCAACUUUUGACAACUUGGCCUCAAAUCAGGUAGGACUACCCACUGAACUUAA